rnacentral:rRNA from 1 species
UUAGGCAGUUGGUGUGGUAACGGCUCACCAAACCUACGAUGGAUAGGGGUUCUGAGAGGAAGGUCCCCCACACUGGAACUGAGACACGGUCCAGACUCCUACGGGAGGCAGCAGUGAGGAAUAUUGGUCAAUGGGCGCGAGCCUGAACCAGCCACGUCGCGUGAAGGAUGACGGCCUUAUGGGUUGUAAACUUCUUUUACAGGGGAAUAAAGUGAGUCACGUGUGAUUUUUUGCAUGUACCCUGUGAAUAAGCAUCGGCUAACUCCGUGCCAGCAGCCGCGGUAAUACGGAGGAUGCGAGCGUUAUCCGGAUUUAUUGGGUUUAAAGGGUGCGUAGGCGGGAUAUUAAGUCAGCGGUGAAAGUUUUCGGCUUAACCUUAAAAUUGCCGUUGAAACUGUUAUUCUUGAGUGCAGUAGAGGUAGGCGGAAUUCGUUGUGUAGCGGUGAAAUGCGUAGAUAUAACGAGGAACUCCGAUUGCGUAGGCAGCUUACUAUAUUGCUACUGACGCUGAGGCACGAAAGUGUGGGUAUCAAACAGGAUUAGAUACCCUGGUAGUCCACACAGUAAACGAUGAAUACUAGCUGUUUGCGAUAUAUUGUAAGCGGCCGAGCGAAA